GAGGAGAGAGAGAGAGAGGUCGAGAGAGAGAGAGAGAGGUCGAGAGAGAGAGAGAGGUCGAGAGAGAGGUCGAGAGUGAGGAGAGAGAGAGAGGUCGAGAGAGAGAGAGAGAGGAGGUCGAGAGAGAGAGAGAGAGAGAGGAGGUCGAGAGAGAGAGAGAGAGGAGGUCGAGAGAGAGAGAGAGAGAGGAGGUCGAGAGAGAGAGAGAGAGAGGAGGUCGAGAGAGAGAGAGAGAGGAGGUCGAGAGAGAGAGAGAGAGAGAGAGAGAGGUCGAGAGAGAGAGGUCGAGAGAGAGAGGUCGAGAGAGAGAGGUCGAGAGAGAGGUCGAGAGAGAGAGGUCGAGAGAGAGAGGUCGAGAGAGAGAGGUCGAGAGAGAGAGGUCGAGAGAGAGAGGUCGAGAGAGAGAGGUCGAGAGAGAGAGAGAGAGGUCGAGAGAGAGAGGUCGAGAGAGAGAGGUCGAGAGAGAGAGGUCGAGAGAGAGAGGUCGAAAGAGAGAGAGGUCGAGAGGUCGAAAGAGAGAGAGCGAGGUCGAGAGAGAGAGAGAGGUUGAGAGAGAGUGGUCGAGAGAGAGAGAAAAAAAUAUACUUAAAUUCACACAGGACACCGGAUAGGACAGGAGAAGUACUCCAGAUAUAACAAACUGACCCUAGCCCCCCGACACACACUACUGCAGCAUAAAUACUUGAGGCUGAGACAGGAGGGGUCAGGAGACACUGUGGCCCCAUCCGAUGACACCCACGGACAGGGCCAAACAGGAAGGAUAUAACCCCACCCACUUUGCCAAAGCACAGCCCCCACAACACUAGAGGGAUAUCUUCAACCACCAACCUACCAUCCUGAGACAAGCCGAGUAUAUCCCACAAAGAUCUCCGCCACGGCACAACCCAAGGGGGGACGCCAACCCAGACAGGAAGAUCACAUCAGUGACUCAACCCACUCAAGUGACGCACUCCUCCCAGGGACGGCAUGAAAGAGCACCAGCAAGCCAGUGACUCAGCCCCUGUAAUAGGGUUAGAGGCAAAGAAUCCCAGUGGAAAGAGGGGAACUGGCCAGGCAGAGACAGCAAGGGGGUUCGUUGCUCCAGAGCCUUUCCGUU
ensembl:lncRNA